UAGAAUCAUUAGGUUUUUCUGAAGCAGGAGAUGGAAAAAAUGUGCAGUGCCCUCUCCGGGACUUAAACCCUGGAUCUCUCAAAUACGCAUCGAUUAUGCUUCCAAUAACACCACAAAGGCAUACAGAAAGGAGGGAUAAAAUACCUUAUAAUGUUUUGAACGAGCAGGAAAUUACUUUUCCGUAUUGCAACCUGAUGGCGUUGAUAUUCACAUUAUAAGACAUCAUAUAUUCACUUUUUCUUUCUAAUUGUAAGAAAGCAUUUCCAAGAUGGUAAGGACUUUAUGUGUAUCUGCCAUUUUCUUCUGACAUUGGUUCUUUUGUAAGUUUGGUGCAUUUGUACGGCAGCUGCAUUCUGUGUAUUCAUUUUAACUUUUGGAGUUGUUGAUAAAUAUUUUAAUAUUAAUUCUUAUAUAUAUUAAUUUAUGUUUAUAUUGGUAUUUAUAUUUUUUAAUACAUUGUGAGUAAAUAAUUUGCAAUACAUUCCAAUAAUUUGAUCACAUUUAAACAGUGAAAUAGGUUUUGGCACAAAUUAACUAUAUGCAAAAGCUAUUUCAAAAGUCUGUUAUCUUAAUUGUAAGAUAAUGUUAUACAGGAUAUGCAUAACAUUAUCUUCUAUCUAAUAUUAUUAUUAAGAGAAUUACAUUAUAUUCUCCUAAUCUAAUCUCUUCUUGAAUAUUUUUACUUUUGAUUUAAUAUGCAUAGGAGUUGAAUCACAGUGAAAACAAUAUAAAAUGUUAUUUAUUAUUUUUAAAUUGCAUAUAUUUUUUUAAAUAUUAUAGCUCUGUUUUUGAUAUUUUUGUAGUGGUAAUUGGAAAAAAAGUAUAUGGUUGUAACAGUAUUUUUUAUUUCGCUUUUUUAAUUAGAAAUUCAAGAUAGUAUCAAAAAGCUUCAUAAGAUGUUGCAUCCACAGAUGAGAGAAGCAAUGGGUGAAGCUCGACCAUUCGACAAAGAGCAAAAGGAUAAAAAUAGGUUCUCUCAAAAAGGCAUGUUAUGUCUAUGUUCUUAAAUGCUAUGCAUCUAAUGAUUUUCCUUCAUCCUUUCAUGAGGCAUUCUGCUAAGCCUCAGUCAAAAGGUGCUGGUGCUGUAAAUUUGGUGGUCCCAGUAUAUACGAUUGCAAUAAUAUUGUUUUUUAUGUAUUCAUUGUUCAAAGUGUGAUUGAAGAAAUGCUGUUAAAAACCAAUUUAAGGUGUCGGAGGAGCCACUGACACAAUUUCAUUCGCACACAUGCGAGAACUCGCAUAAUCUUCAGUUAUCUCUUCCAAAUUCUCCCUUGAUGAUGUUGAAGAAAAACAAUGAAACAUGUCAUUCUACUUCUGUGAAACCAUGUAAAGCAAACGCUAUACAUAAAUUUGCAGAGGUAGAAGAACAUUUGGAGAAAAGAAAAGUAAAUGCCCAUGAAAGGAAAACACAUCGUGUUCUUGAACAGUAUGGAAAGGAGAAAGUUUUAACUGCAUUGAAAACAAUCAUUUUGGAAAUGGAAGAUUUUAAAGGAAACUUUAGUGAAAUGGAUGUGAGACCUACGUCAGUACCAGAUGCUCUUGGUAGCACUUUUGAUAGUAGUGCAUAGCUUCUGUCAAUCAUAGAUUAGGAUUACAUGUUUAUUCUAGUUUCCAUGCUGAGGAACUCUUAUGCUAAAGAAUGUGAAAAACUGCCAUAUUCCAUAUUAUAUUGUUAUGUUUUAUUGAUAUCUGCUAUUUGGUUAUAAGGUUGUUAAAGGCCUUCUUGUUAUAUAUACAGUUGUAAAUAAAUUUUUAUGACAAAUUUA